ensembl:ncRNA asRNA:CR44989 antisense RNA:CR44989
AAUCCUUGCGACUCCUGGUAUUGCCGGACGAUCUGAUCCUGGACAUCUGGGAGACAAGGCGAGUACCUGGAGUACUCCAUGAUACAAUUCAACGUUUCCAAUGUGUACUGAAGAUUACCUCAGCUCUCCCGCAUAGCCAAACAUGUCGUUCAGCGGUACCUCCGCGUAGACAGUGAACCAACCCUCGGUUCCCUCAGUUCCGGUGAUGAUACCAUGCCGUUUGCUCAAGUGACCCAUUACAGCACCCUGGAAUUCCUCGGGUGCAGUGACCUCGACCAGCAUAAUGGGCUCUAGGAUUUGCCAGCUGCCGUUCUGGAAGACCUCUUUGAUGGCACCAUGGGCAGCCAACAUGAAGGCGAGCUCGCUGGAGUCCACGAUGUGGUGACCACCAUCUUGCAGGCGGAAUCGAAUGCCGGACAACUUGUGACCGGAGAGCAUUCCCUUCUCAGCCAUUUCUCUGUAACCUAAGC